AACGAACGCUGGCGGCAUGCCUAACACAUGCAAGUCGAACGAGACCUUCGGGUCUAGUGGCGCACGGGUGCGUAACGCGUGGGAUCCUGCCCUUAGGUUCGGAAUAACUCCCCGAAAGGGGUGCUAAUACCGGAUAAUGUCUUCGGACCAAAGAUUUAUCGCCUUUGGAUGGGCCCGCGUUGGAUUAGCUAGUUGGUAGGGUAAAAGCCUACCAAGGCGACGAUCCAUAGCUGGUCUGAGAGGAUGAUCAGCCACACUGGGACUGAGACACGGCCCAGACUCCUACGGGAGGCAGCAGUGGGGAAUAUUGGACAAUGGGCGAAAGCCUGAUCCAGCAAUGCCGCGUGAGUGAUGAAGGCCUUAGGGUUGUAAAGCUCUUUUACCCGGGAUGAUAAUGACAGUACCGGGAGAAUAAGCGCCGGCUAACUCCGUG
rnacentral:rRNA from 1 species